rnacentral:rRNA from 1 species
UGGGGAAUCUUAGACAAUGGGGGCAAGCCCUGAUCUAGCCAUGCCGCGUGAGUGAUGAAGGCCUUAGGGUUGUAAAGCUCUUUCAGCUGGGAAGAUAAUGACGGUACCAGCAGAAGAAGCCCGGCUAACUCCGUGCCAGCAGCCGCGGUAACUACGGAGGGGGCUANCGUUGUUCGGAAUUACUGGGCGUAAAGCGCACGUAGGCGGACUGGAAAGUCAGAGGUGAAAUCCCAGGGCUCAACCUUGGAACUGCCUUUGAAACUAAUCAGUCUGGAGUUCGAGAGAGGUGAGUGGAAUUCCGAGUGUAGAGGUGAAAUUCGUAGAUAUUCGGAGGAACACCAGUGGCGAAGGCGGCUCACUGGCUCGAUAC